AUUGAACGCUGGCGGCAGGCCUAACACAUGCAAGUCGAGCGGGGUUUUCGGACCUAGCGGCGGACGGGUGAGUAAUGCGUAGGAAGCUACCCGAUAGAGGGGGAUACCAGUUGGAAACGACUGUUAAUACCGCAUAAUGUCUACGGACCAAAGUGUGGGACCUUCGGGCCACAUGCUAUCGGAUGCGCCUACGUGGGAUUAGCUAGUUGGUGAGGUAAUGGCUCACCAAGGCGACGAUCCCUAGCUGGUUUGAGAGGAUGAUAAGCCCCACUGGAACUGGGACACGGUCCAGACUCCUACGGGAGGCAGCAGUGGGGAAUAUUGGACAAUGGGCGCAAGCCUGAUCCAGCCAUGCCGCGUGUGUGAAGAAGGCCUUCGGGUUGUAAAGCACUUUCAGUAGGGAGGAAGCGUUGUGUGUUAAUAGUACACAGCGUUGACGUUACCUACAGAAGAAGCACCGGCUAACUCUGUGCCAGCAGCCGCGGUAAGAC
rnacentral:rRNA from 1 species